AUGCACGCUGGCGGCGUGCCUCAUACCUGCCAGUCGAGCGCACAGACGAGGAGCUUGCUCCUCUGACGUUAGCGGCGGACGGGUGAGUAACACGUGGAUAACCUACCUAUAAGACUGGGAUAACUUCGGGAAACCGGAGCUAAUACCGGAUAAUAUAUUGAACCGCAUGGUUCAAUAGUGAAAGACGGUUUUGCUGUCACUUAUAGAUGGAUCCGCGCCGCAUUAGCUAGUUGGUAAGGUAACGGCUUACCAAGGCGACGAUGCGUAGCCGACCUGAGAGGGUGAUCGGCCACACUGGAACUGAGACACGGUCCAGACUCCUACGGGAGGCAGCAGUAGGGAAUCUUCCGCAAUGGGCGAAAGCCUGACGGAGCAACGCCGCGUGAGUGAUGAAGGUCUUCGGAUCGUAAAACUCUGUUAUUAGGGAAGAACAAAUGUGUAAGUAACUAUGCACGUCUUGACGGUACCUAAUCAGAAAGCCACGGCUAACUACGUG
rnacentral:rRNA from 1 species